rnacentral:rRNA from 1 species
UACGUAGGGUGCGAGCGUUGUCCGGAAUUAUUGGGCGUAAAGAGCUCGUAGGCGGUGUGUCACGUCGGCCGUGAAAACCUGCAGCUUAACUGUGGGCGUGCGGUCGAUACGGGCAUCACUGGAGUUCGGCAGGGGAGACUGGAAUUUCUGGUGUAGCGGUGAAAUGCGCAGAUAUCAGGAGGAACACCGGUGGCGAAGGCGGGUCUCUGGGCCGAUACUGACGCUGAGGAGCGAAAGCGUGGGGAGCAAACAGG